CCAACGGCCCUUUUAAGGGCCACCACUUUUUCCAAAGAGCUAAACA
rfam:Folsomia candida strain VT population Fcan01_Sc009, whole genome shotgun sequence.